rnacentral:rRNA from 1 species
CUGCAAGUCGAGCGAUGAAGUUUCUUCGGAAAUGGAUUAGCGGCGAACGGGUGAGGAACACGUGAAGAAUCUGCCCUCCACUUUGGGAUAACACCGGGAAACCGGUGCUAAUACUGAAUAUUGAAACAUAAGUGGCAUCACUGAGUUUUGAAAGAAUUUCGGUGGAGGAUGACUUCGCGGCCUAUCAGCUAGUUGGUGAGGUAAUGGCUCACCAAGGCAACGACGGGUAGCCGGCCUGAGAGGGCGACCGGCCACACUGGGACUGAGACACGGCCCAGACUCCUACGGGAGGCAGCAGUGGGGAAUAUUGGGCAAUGGAGGAAACUCUGACCCAGCGACGCCGCGUGCGGGAUGAAGGCCUUCGGGUUGUAAACCGCUUUCAGUAGGGAAGAAGCGAAAGUGACGGUACCUACAAAAGAAGCACCGGCUAACUAUGUGCCAGCAGCCGCGGUAAUACAUAGGGUGCAAGCGUUGUCCGGAAUUAUUGGGCGUAAAGAGCUCGUAGGUCGUUUGUUACGUCGGAUGUGAAAACCUGAGGCUCAACCUCAGGCCUGCAUUCGAUACGGGCAAACUAGAGUUUGGUAGGGGAGACUGGAAUUCCUGGUGUAGCGGUGGAAUGCGCAGAUAUCAGGGAGGAACACCAAU